rnacentral:rRNA from 1 species
GGGCUAACUUUAAAGAGACUGCCGGUGUUAACCGGAGGAAGGUGGGAUGACGUCAAGUCCUCAUGGCCUUUAUGCCCAGGGCUACACACGUGCUACAAUGGGCAGUACAAAGGGUAGCAAGCCUGCGAAGGUGAGCCAAUCUCAAAAAGCUGUUCGUAGUUCGGAUUGGAGUCUGCAACUCGACUCCAUGAAGUUGGAAUCGCUAGUAAUCGCGGAUCAGCAUGCCGCGGUGAAUACGUUCCCGGGCCUU